AAACUGAAGAGUUUGAUCAUGGCUCAGAUUGAACGCUGGCGGCAGGCCUAACACAUGCAAGUCGAGCGGUAACAGAUCCAGCUUGCUGGAUGCUGACGAGCGGCGGACGGGUGAGU
rnacentral:ncRNA from 1 species